rnacentral:rRNA from 1 species
ACUUACCCAAUAAAGAGUCGAGCCUGCCCAGUGAUAAUAUUUAACGGCCGCGGUACUCUGACCGUGCAAAGGUAGCAUAAUCAUUUGCCCUAUAAUUGAGGGCUUGUAUGAAUGGUUUGACAAGAGCAAAACUGUCUCUCUAGAGUUUUUUAGAAUUUGGUUUUUGGGUGAAGAAACCCAAAUUUCAUUGAAAGACAAGAAGACCCUAUCGAGCUUAAAACAAAUUUAUCAAGAAGUGUGUUUAUAAUCAAUCAAUUUUGAUAAAAAAUUUUGGUUGGGGCGACUAAGGAACAAAAAAAGCUUCUUUUAUUCAAAGAUACUGAUAAGUUUUGAUCCGGAAAUUCUGAUUAAAAGAAUUAGUUACCGUAGGGAUAACAGCAUAAUCUUUUUUAAGAGCUCUUAUCGAAAGAAAGGUUUGUGACCUCGAUGUUGGACUAGGAUACCCCAAUAGAUGCAGAAGUC